AACCUAUUCCAUUGUAAAACCUAAGCCAUUCAUUCCGCAGAAAGCACGCGGCGGCUAGGUCAGAGUUCUAGCAACAUCAAUGUAUACGAGAGAGAAAUAUAUCUGCAUCGAGUGUAAUUUCCUUGAUUAAAUUGCAACAAAGCCAUGUCAACAAUACAAAAUUUGUUGACAUGAAAAAAGUAAUAUUUGUCAAGAAUCCACAAGAGAUAUCGGAUCUUCGGUGAUGGAUCAACAACCACCUGAUGUUAUCAAUGACGAUGAUUAGAAGCAGGUAGCUCAUCCUCCUUAUUCAAAAUAAGCAGUUUGCAAGAAAGGAAGCGUUUACUGUGUUCUUAUGAUUUACAUCACUGAAGUCAGUUAACAUUCUGGAAAGGUGAUUCCUCACAAAUACAUGAUCAACAACUAGUGAUUUCCACAACUUACAAAUGCACCUCAAAUCAAGAGGAUUGUUGGAAUUAAUCCUUGACAUGAUUAGAAGCAGAUAGCUCAUCCUCCUCCUCAUCCUCUUCCUCAGAUUACUUUAAAUGGAGUCAAAAUCAAAUUGGAGCUUGCAGAUAAUUAAUAUGCAUAACUAAAUUGUAGUGUUUACAUGAUGAGAAAUGAUUUAUGUACACAAAACUCAAAACUACCUUGUAUUUCCUUUUAAUUGUGUAAUCAAUUUCAUGUUUUAUUUGUGGUGUUUGGGAACCUUUAUAUUCUCAAUUUUAUGGACCAACAAAGACAUAAUUAAUGCAUUUUUUUUCUUUCCUC